AGAGUUUGAUCAUGGCUCAGAACGAACGCCGGCGGCAUGCCUAACACAUGCAAGUCGAACGCCAUCCUCUGGAUGGAGUGGCGCACGGGUGAGUAACGCGUGGGAACCUGCCUUUUUCUGCGGGACAACGAUUGGAAACGAUCGCUAAUACCGCAUACGCCCUACGGGGGAAAGGUCCGCCGGAGAGAGAGGGGCCCGCGUUUGAUUAGCUAGUUGGUGAGGUAACGGCUCACCAAGGCGACGAUCAAUAGCUGGUCUGAGAGGAUGAUCAGCCACACUGGGACUGAGACACGGCCCAGACUCCUACGGGAGGCAGCAGUGGGGAAUAUUGGACAAUGGGGGCAACCCUGAUCCAGCAAUGCCGCGUGUGUGAUGAAGGCCUUAGGGUUGUAAAGCACUUUCACUGGCGAAGAUGAUGACGGUAACCANAGAAGAAGCCCCGGCUAACUUCGUGCCA
rnacentral:rRNA from 1 species